ensembl:lncRNA
ACCAGAACGGAACCACACAAACCAGCCACGAUUCCCCUUGAUUCUCGAACGUGCCAGCGCGUUGGCGGUGAUGAUGAUGGGUGAAGUGCGUAUGUGUGUAUGAGAGAGCGUGCUGUGUGUGUGAGAAAGAGAGCAAGAGGAGGAGGAGGAGGGCGGAUGCGGGGGUUCAGUUUAAAUAGGCAGCCUACUAUUGGACUGUCGAGAGGCACGCACGCUAUUGCAGAGGCGAUGCGUCUACUGGGCUGUUAUAUUACGCUGGAGAACUGACAAGGAGCGCUGUCAAACCACCGAACCACCGCUGGGAGAAGGGGGAAAUAUACGCGCUAACAUCAGUGAGGUCCAAGAGGCACCAUUUUACGUCUUUAAUCUUUGUGUGAAAUGAUAACGUUACAAUGGUUAAUACGUGUUCUUGGGGGGCCGUGUGUGUUUUUGGAUACUGAAGGAGAACAUGGAAGCGAUGUGUAUUUUCUCACGAGGCAGUCGACGUCCUCAUUACGCACUGCGAUUUAAAUAGUCCAUCAUCCUGUGUGACAUUUACGCGGAUCGAGAUCACGACUUACAAACACACUGGCCAGCAUCUGAUCCAGUGCUCCCGAGAGUUUACCUGCCUCUGAAGCAGCUAGAGCGAUGCUUCAGCAGAACAACAACAACAACUACCCGUGUCUGGACCGCGCCAUCCUCCAGGACAGCGGGAAGAGCGGCGUGCCGUUCGCCAGCCCCCUCGAGUUCGGCGACAUGUCUCUAAUCAAGACCCUGAGGGCGUGGGCCAGGAGCGGGAUGAGCGCCAAGGCCAGAGGCGGCUCGGCCCCGUUACAUCAUCACCUCGCCAAGUCGUGCCAACAAAGCAGCGGGUCGGGUCAGGGUCCAGGGGCGCCCCUGACUGGCAGGACGGGCCAUGCGAGAGUGGCGGGGGGCGGACAAGCAGGCCUGGGUGCGCUGGUCACGGUGGCGACCCUGAAGGCCUCGGAGGGGGGGCGACAGACGCAGACGCGAUGCCUGCUACUGAAGGCCGAGGGCCGCAACUACGUGUGUGCGGUCAGUGGUGCCAACCGGGGCGGCCCCGCAGGCCAGGCACCUCCGUCACGCGCCACCCUGGUAGGCAGCUGGCUGCGAGAGACCGUAGUAGGGUCAAAAGAGGUUUCUGGAGCAAAGAGCACGUCUCAGAAUGGACAGUGUGACGGAGAGGUGUUUCGAGUGAAGCCCAGGCCAGCGAAGAAGUGGCGGAAGCUGAGCAACUCCGCCGCCUCGUUCGCAGCGGGCGCCGAGACGGCUCCAGGCGGGCAGGAGCACGAUAGCAGCAUUCAAAAGCUGGAUGAAAGCCAGCAAAAGCAGCGGCAGGACGGAGCCAAAAGCAACUGUGCGAGCGCACGGCUGAACGUUCACGGGAGAAAACAAACCCGAGGCUCGGCACAGCGGGGGAACAGCAGGACUAAAGAGAGGAGAGGGCCCGCGAGGCCUGUGUCCAGACAGAACAGUUUACACGACACCGCCGUGCUGGCGAAGGAGAACGUGGACCUCAUUAACGUCCCCUGUGCCGAGCACUGCUCCCGAAGAGUAAAAGCCGACCCGAAGAAGACCUGGAGUGACUGCACCACUGGAUCUGAGUCUAAAGAGGUGGCCAACAGAGAUGUCACUGAGCCCAGUCUCCAAAUCAGCCAUUUUAAAGAGCCCCCUAACAGAGAGGAGGAAAACACCUCUCUUCACAACAGCUUAGGAGAGGUUGAGGAAGAGACCAUUAAGUCCCCAGAUAGAACUGGAGACACAGUGUGUAGUGUGAAGGAAAAAGAUCAGACAACAAAGCUGAGAGAUACAGAUCCAGCUGAGGAGGUUCUGUCCAGUAGAUGGGUAGACAGGAACCUCAGCCCAGAGAGACGCUGUUGCACUGAGUUGGGCCUAGAUAAACAACACUGCUGUUGUAAGGACUUAGACACAGAUUUCACAAACAGUAAAGACCUGCCUGAGCCAGGGCUCAUAGAUAAAUCAGAAGAAGAAAUAGUGGAUCUUAAUAGGCUGUCCUUGACAGAUAUAAAGCCCCCUUAUGGACAUCUGUGUGCGGAAAGGGACUCUGAACGAGGAGACGAGCUAGAUGGCAGAGUUGAGAAUCACCCCGAAUCAAAUCUCCUCAGCGCGUCUCCUCAGACGGAGAAGGAAGGGGCACCACAGGGGUUGGUGAACGUGGAGGCCAGAUCUGGGCAGAAUCCAGAUGAGGCUCACGCAGCAGAGGAUCAUGGGAAGGAGGGACAGCUCUCAGCAAGAGCUCUCAGAACCUUUCCACUUGCCAAGGAAGGAGGAGGAGGAGGAGGAGGAGGAGAAGGAAGCGGUGAGGAACAGAGGGACUCGGGGAUUAGAUCAACCGAUAACAAUCUCCCUUGGACAGCUCCCACGGCAAGCAGCACAGCAACAACCAGUGCCACUCCUGCUGUUACAGCCCCUGCCGCCGCCGCCGCCACCACUGCGGCUUCUGCUGUCGCACAUGCUCACCCUAAUCCUGCCCCCCCGGGAGCCAUGGCAACGGGCCUCCCAGGUCCGAGGAGGGAGCAGGCGGAGGCCGGAGGUGGGGCGAGGGCAGAGGCUGAAGCUGAGCUGCGGAGCGAGGGGCAGCCGGGGGAACCAGCGGCCGAGACCCACAGAGCAGACACAGUGGCCACAGACGGCGACAUCAUCGGAGGAAGAGGAGGAGGAGGAGGAGGAGGGGGGCAAGAGGGUGAAGAGGAUGAGUUUGGGGGGUUCAUGCAGGCGGGUGAGACCUGGGAGGACGGCUUCGCCGAGCUCCACCAAGUGUCUUGUGGGAAAGUGGAGUUUUCUGACAAAGGUGACAUGCCAUCCUGGCAAUCUGAUUGGACAGACGGUCCAUCCAACCAAUCUGAUUGGACAGCCAGUCCAUCCCACCAGUCUGAUGACUCAUGGGUUGCCUUCACCCAGGAAGGAGGCGGUCAGGCUCGUGGGGAGGAGAUAGCAUCUGGACAAUGGUGGCCUCAGAUUGCCAUCGAGGACAAGGCAGAUGAUUUGAAUGCACCAAGAGUGUUUCUAGAGGCCUUCCCACCUGUGCCGAACACGACCUUUGACUCCAUUGGAAUUCCGACACUGAAACAGCUCCUACGGGGAGCUGCAGAACAGAAGACCGCCCCCGAGGAUUAUGGGGAGAGGAGCUUGCUGGACGGCUUCCAAGACUUGAACAAAAUGUUUGGCCUGAAGCACAAACGGACUGAAUCUCCUUCCUGGAAGCAUCUCCUGACAUCUCUGCAGGUGGACGGACAUCUUUCAGCACAUCCGAGGGACCUGCCCCAAGGUCAUGACCUCACUGCUGGACAUCAUGUGGUGAGCCUGCAGGCCUCACUGGCCAGCAAGAGGAGGCUUUCAUAUGACCUGAACAGGAACCUUCUGGCGUAAAUUCCCACAAUGCAACUCUGCCUCACACACUCCCUCUCUCUGUUUGUUGCCGCAAGACCUUCCUUAACCAACACACACCACCUGGGCCGUGCUUGUUGAUGCAAGACAGAAAGAAAAUGUUGAGAUGUUUGUUAGUUAGUUUGUUUGUCUGUUUGUUUUACAGGGCUCAUGACGAUUCUGACGAUUUGGGCUUUUUAAGUAUUUUCGAUUCUGAAUCCUUCCACUCAUCUCUCACUAUUGACGUACAAUCAUAACAGUGCCAUGCUACCAUUUGAUUUAUUUCUACUUAGAGAAAAGAGAAAGAGUGAGGACUGCUAAAACCAUUGAGGCCAAUGAAACCCAUCAUCGGGAUAUUUUUCAGUCAUCCCUCAAUUCAUACCUUGGAUUAGUUCAUGUGUCAGCGCCAAUCUAGACAACUGGGUUAUCUGGGUCAGUCCUGGCCCUGAUCUGGCCCAGUCCUGGCACCGAUUCACCAUAAACUGCUAUGUAGGUGCUGCCGUCUCUUGCAUCAACACCUUAAGCACUCAACACUAAGUGAUAGAUGUAUCUUAAUAAAAAAAAGAGAAGUAUUUUUCGAUAGAGCUUU